AUUCAGCUGCGCUUCCUCCCUCCCUCGCCGCGUUUUGUUUUGUGUUUUACACGCCAACGAUUUCACACUCGCUAGCAUCGCACUCCUUGUGUUGCUCUCCAGCCCCUCAUUGUCUCAUUUGUCAUACGCCUCUUCAGCGAAGCCAUGUCCGCGAUGCAGCUGCUGAUUGUCGCCCUGGCCGCGUGCCUGUCGGUGGCGGCGGCAAAGUCCAAGGAGGAGUUCCCGCUUGUGUGGGUGUGCCUCGGCAUCACGGUGGUUGGCGUGAUUGCGGCACUGUACGUUGCGUACAAGCGCCCUGAUGAGCUGCACCUGCCCGGGUCCGUGGUGAUGACGGCGGUGGAGAGCGACCCCGGCAACGGCAAGAGCGCCGCGGAACCCAUUUAGUGAAGAGAUGCUGUGCGCGCGUUUGCCCGCAUGUGUGUGUGUGUGUCUGUGUGUUUUGUGUCUUGUGUCUUGUACUUUCUCCACUGUGCUUCGCCUUUUUCUUUCAUUUCUUCGAAGAGAGGAGCUCUUCCGUGAAGGUCUGCGCUCUCCCUUCUUGUUCUUUUCUUUUUUCGCGCUUGUGCCACCCCGUCCUCACCCUGUCCUCCCUUCAGCAUCCGAAGGGGUGAUGAGGGGUGGUGAAAUUUGACUUGAGUCGCCUCGACGAUGCCUCCGCCUC
rnacentral:misc_RNA from 1 species